rnacentral:lncRNA from 1 species
CUGCCUUCGAAACACAGAGGGGAGUUUCUGACACCCGCAUGAUUGGCUGCUACUGUGUUGUGAAUUCAGAGAUUUCACGAUGCUGAUGGCAUUCUAGAGGUUGGAAGGUCUCCAGUUCUCAAUCAUCUCAGAAAACGGACCAUCUGUGAUUGGUAGCCAUGGCCAGGUUGAAUAAUCCUGAUUGUGAAGCCACCCUGUGUAACUUUAUAUUGGGUUUGUGAUUAGUGAGCAUUUGCAUUUAUUAAAAGUGGGCACGCUUAGGGAAUUCUUGGGGUUUAAUUCCAAUAAUAUUUCAACUCACAUUUAUUGCGAACAGUGGUUUUAAUUAAAAGUCUCCGGCACUUGUGUGUAGGCCUCCUUAUCAUGAGAGAUUGCCUGUGCAGGAACAAAAGAAAGUUCUGCUAUUGUUUACAAAUGGAAUGUGCCUGGUGGAGCUAGAGCUUCUAACCAUAGCAUUCUGGAAAUUAGUCACAUAUUGCUGUGUAUUAUGUUUAUUACUUAGGAUCUUUAUGGGUGUUCUUAAAAAGAGACAGCUUCUUGCAUCCAGUUUCUUAGAGUCUGGGUAGUAACUUGGGAAAAAAACUGAAUUUUAUGUAUAGUGAUAUCUUCCUCAAAAUUGCUGUCACUCAGUGUUUAUUCUAAAAAGUGUUUAGUUUUGACUAAUUGAUAUGCUGGUGAAGGCUGGGCAUGGUGGCUCAUGCCUGUAAUCUCAGCACUUUGGGAGGCCAAGGCGGGAACAUCACUUGAGGUCAAGAGUUUGAGACCAGCCCAGACAACAGAGUGAAACCCCAUCUCUACUAAAAUUACGGAAAUUAGGUGGGCGUGGUGGCGGGUGCCUGUAAUCCAGCUACUUAGGAGGCUGAAGCAGGAGAAUCGCUUGAACUGGGGAGGUAGAGGUUGCAGUGAGCUGAGAUUGUACCACUGCAUUCCAGCCUGGGUGACAGAGCAAGACUCCACCUGAAAAAUAAUAAUAAUAAUAAAAACAAAAAAUAAAAAAUUAAAAAAUUAAAAAAUAUGUAUUUUUUUCUUUCUCUCAAUUUAUUUAACACUUGUUGAUUCUUGCAACUUUAUCUUUGAGAUUUUAUGCUCAUUUAACCCUCUUUUGGGAGCUUUGUUGCUUUGUUCAGCAUUAUGUAUUUUUAUUUCCUGAAAG